rnacentral:rRNA from 1 species
UGGGGAAUAUUGGACAAUGGGCGCAAGCCUGAUCCAGCCAUGCCGCGUGAGUGAUGAAGGCCCUAGGGUUGUAAAGCUCUUUCACCGGUGAAGAUAAUGACGGUAACCGGAGAAGAAGCUCCGGCUAACUUCGUGCCAGCAGCCGCGGUAAUACGAAGGGGGCUAGCGUUGUUCGGAUUUACUGGGCGUAAAGCGCACGUAGGCGGACUAUUAAGUCAGGGGUGAAAUCCCGGGGCUCAACCCCGGAACUGCCUUUGAUACUGGUAGUCUUGAGUUCGAGAGAGGUGAGUGGAAUUCCGGGUAUAGAGGUGAAAUUCGUAGAUAUUCGGGGGGACACCAGUGGCGAAGGCGGCUCACUGGCACGAUACUGACGCUGAGGUGCGAAAGCGUGGGGAGCAAACAGG